UUGAAUAAUUCAUUUGGAUUGAACUAUUCAUUGAUAGUGCAUGUGUGUUGAUUAAGAUAAGUAUGACUCACCGUUUUGCCUUAGGCAAAUAUAGAAAAGUUUUAGUUUUAUAUGUUGGAGGAACCAUUGGAAUGCAAAGAAAUAAUGAAGGAGUUUUCAUUCCAGU